rnacentral:rRNA from 1 species
UGGGGAAUUUUGCGCAAUGGGCGAAAGCCUGACGCAGCAACGCCGCGUGAGUGAUGAAGGCUUUCGGGUCGUAAAGCUCUGUCAAUGGGAAAGAAGUGUACGGGAGCUAAUAUCUCCUGUACUUGACGGUACCCAUAAAGGAAGCACCGGCUAACUCCGUGCCAGCAGCCGCGGUAAUACGGGGGGUGCAAGCGUUGUUCGGAAUUAUUGGGCGUAAAGCGCGUGUAGGCGGUCUGAUUAGUCUGAUGUGAAAGCCCUGGGCUCAACCCAGGAAGUGCAUUGGAUACUGUCAGACUUGAAUACGGGAGAGGGUAGUGGAAUUCCUAGUGUAGGAGUGAAAUCCGUAGAUAUUAGGAGGAACACCGGUGGCGAAGGCGGCUACCUGGACCGAUAUUGACGCUGAGACGCGAAAGCGUGGGUAGCAAACAGG